GUGAAUUUCGUUAAAUAUUCAACUGUAAUUUUUCAGAAGUUAAAAAACGUAUUUCAAUACUGAUCAACAAAUAAGUCAACCCCGACCAUACUUAAAUAAUUCGAAAUAAAGAUUUUGUUAUCGAAUUUCUGUGACGGGGUUACUCUGUUGUGUGUGUAUUGUUCGGCCAUCGGGAAAGAAUCGUCUGGGGAUAAUAAACACCCCCCUU